AGGAAUUGACGGGGACCCGCACAAGCGGUGGAUGAUGUGGUUUAAUUCGAUGCAACGCGAAAAACCUUACCCACCUUUGACAUGGCAGGAACUUACCAGAGAUGGUUUGGUGCUCGAAAGAGAACCUGCACACAGGUGCUGCAUGGCUGUCGUCAGCUCGUGUCGUGAGAUGUUGGGUUAAGUCCCGCAACGAGCGCAACCCUUGCCAUUAGUUGCUACAUUCAGUUGAGCACUCUAAUGGGACUGCCGGUGACAAACCGGAGGAAGGUGGGGAUGACGUCAAGUCCUCAUGGCCCUUAUAGGUGGGGCUACACACGUCAUACAAUGGCUGGUACAAAGGGUUGCCAACCCGCGAGGGGGAGCUAAUCCCAUAAAGCCAGUCGUAGUCCGGAUCGCAGUCUGCAACUCGACUGCGUGAAGUCGGAAUCGCUAGUAAUCGUGGAUCAGAAUGUCACGGUGAAUACGUUCCCGGGUCUUGUACACACCGCCCGUCACACCAUGGGAGCGGGUCUCGCCAGAAGUAGGUAGCCUAACCGCAAGGAGGGCGCUUACCACGGCGGGGUUCGUGACUGGGGUGAAGUCGUAACAAGGUA
rnacentral:rRNA from 1 species